rnacentral:rRNA from 1 species
UAUUGGGCAAUGGGCGUAAGCCUGACCCAGUAACGCCUCGUGAAGGAAGAAGGCUUUCGGGUUGUAAACUUCUUUUGUCAGGGACGAAGCAAGUGACGGUAACUGACGAAUAAGCCACGGCUAACUACGUGCCAGCAGCCGCGGUAAUACGUAGGUGGCAAGCGUUAUCCGGAUUUACUAGGUGCAAAGGGCGAGUAGGCGGGGAAGCAAGUCAGAUGUGAAAACCACGGGCUCAACCUGUGGCCUGCAUUUGAAACUGUUUUUCUUGAGUGCUGGAGAGGCAAUCGGAAUUCCGUGUGUAGCGGUGAAAUGCGUAGAUAUACGGAGGAACACCAGUGGCGAAGGCGGAUUGCUGGACAGUAACUGACGCUGAGGCGCGAAAGCGUGGGGAGCAAA